CACCUGUAAACAUACACGGCCCGAAACGACAUGCAACAGUGCUAGCUAUAGUGCAGUAUAAAUUAUUAUUGAUUUGUUUUAAGUCUUGGCCUGUACAACCGUUCCUUCCUCCAUCGAGUCACAACUGUACAUUAUUUCUGUGUUCUGUCGUCCACGAGUUUUAGUGUGUUGACGGAACUUGAAUAUAUAUUAUUAUUAUAAACUAAGAUGCAGGAGAGGAUAUGAGGCUAUUGAGGGCAUCGUUCCCCUAAACAAUACCAAGAGUCCUUUCUAUUUCGACUGAGAAGAGUUUUCAGGGCAAUAAAACAAUAUGGGUGGCAAGAAGGCAUUCAGUCGGAGUGCCAAAGCUUUACCAAGAGGUCGGAGCAAGAGCCCCAAGAAAGGGGGUAAGAAGAAGUCUCGCUCAGCCUCACCCACAGCUAGGAAACCUGUAGACCUCAUGAGUCCGGCUGCAAUGUCAAACGCAUACUACAUCGCCCAUGGGCCUGUGGACUUCCUAGAAAUCAGGGGAUUUGGCUGGCCAGAUGCCCCCAAAGGGAAGAAAAAGAAGGGAAAGGCAAGAAGAAAAAGAAGUGAGAGUAUUGUAAUUUAGUAAAGAUAUUUAGAUAUGGUAUGGUAAAUAAUUUCAAAUUCCUGAUUCAGAAGUAGAAGGGCCUCAAGUUAAGCUCAGUUUCCAUUAAAAUGAGAUGGGCUGUAAACUCUUUGGUGACAUGAAUAAAAGUGUUAUUAUAUAUAUAGUAACGCCCCAGUUUUCAUUCACAAGCCAAAAUAUACACCAAUUCUAUUAAUAAUGAGAAGUGCUCCAUGUGCUAGUUCGUACUUUGAGGCCCCAAAACAUGCAAUGGAAAGCAAGAUACUUCUCAGAAUGAGAGAGGUCUUAUAAGUCAUUUUUCAGCUAUAGAAUUAAAAUGAUGGGAUUAAUUUAAAUUAGUCAGGAAUUGUUCAGCAAUUGGACAUAACUAAACAUUCUUCAACCAAUGUCUUGCAUAAGAGACAACAUUUCUGAGAAAUCUGGGAAAUUAGCUUUACACAAAGCUCUAAAACUUUAAACACUGUUGAGCUCUGAUUUAUGCGAAGGGCCCUUCUUAUUCUCAACCAACGAUAUGUUUCACAAAAUUUCUCAGUCUAAUAGCUGGAAGUUUACUGGACUGACAGCAUUAUAUUUUGAAAGCUUAUAUCACUGUACUGGCAACCAAGCUACGGUAAAUUACUGUUAUUUUUUAUUUGUAUAAUUAUCAUUCAAUGAAAAUGUAACUUGAGGGCAGUACUUAUGUUAAUUUUAAUUACAAUGGCAUAUAAUAUUAUAAGUAGAUAUACUCAGUUUAUGUAGCUUGUAUUCAUUUGAAUUCUCUUUUUAGCUUAAAGUCUUGUAGUUUUAUAAAGAAACUUCAUUGUAGAGAGAGGAGGAGCUAAAAGAAUAUGCAAUGGGCAUAGUAAACCUCUUGCCUAAUAUGAAUAUGUGUGCAUUAUCAUUGUGAGAUGAUCAAAGCUUUGCAAUGUUUAAUUCACAUUCUACUGCUUUCUUAAAAUAUUUUGUCACAUGAAUGCCUAUAUUAGAACUUCAGCAAAUAUUCUAUUUUUAAAUGAACAUUAGUUUCUCUUGAGAUUACCAAUAGAUACUAGUGCUGUAUUUCUAUUGCAAAAAAACAUUCAAAAAUAUUUUAAUUUUCAGCCUAUAUCGUUUGUCCAACAAGAGAUUAUUACUUAGUACGAUAUUUACAUGUAUGACCUAUCUUUUUGUUUCUUUUCCAUAUUUUGGUUGUGCUAUCUCAGGGGAUAUAUCAUUUAUGGCUCAUUUAACAAUACAUUCAAUUAAUAGGGGUAUAGCAUGCAGCUUAAGAACACUUAAAUGAAGAAUUUAGACAUGGAAUAAAUACUCUUGAACCUAAACUGUAAACUACAUGCUUGGAAAUUAAUGCUGAGAAAGACAUUGGUGGAUCACAUGCAUUAUUCUUCUCAUACAACUGCAGAAGAGAAUUCAAUUAUCCGUCUUUUCAUUACAAACAAACGUUUAGAAAUAUGUUUUUUCAAUAUUUUGUGUUUUUUCAUGCAUUAUUUUUUCCAUUGCCAAGUUUCAAUUAUCUGUACAUUGCUCAAAUAUAUAAGAAUAAGAUUGAAAUGUAUAAGUGUAUUUUUAGGAAGUUUAUUUCUGAAAAUUUUGCCUUAAGGGCAUUAGUGAUCCUUUUUAGUGAGCAAAACAUUAAUAAUGUAUUGAUAGUCCUAUACAUUUUCAGAAAAUGUGCACACAGAAAAAUGUGUACACAGUUACUGCACUAAAGUUUUUUAAUGUUAAUUUGCAUACCUCCAUUAUUGUUUUUAAGUCGGGUACGUUCACUGGUUACAUAGAUCUUACGUGGAUCUUAAUAUAGAUGCUGCUUACUGAUUUUGAAUUCAUAUACUUUUAUACUUUUUAUACAGCAAAAAUCACUAGGAAUAUAAUGACAUCUACCUUUUCAUUUUGCCACACGCUUGUGCUAUAAAGUGUAAGCAUUUGUGAUUUAAGGUUAUGUGAAAUUGUAUUUUUUGAUACUAUGCCCUAUACCUCCAGUCUAAACAUGAUUUUUCUUUACAGUUUAGUUCAUUAAUUUAUAGAAAUUAUGUUUGACAUAUGACUGACUAUUAAAGCUGCAAAUUCCACGCAAGACUCGUGGAUUAAUAUGCCAAAAUCUGUGGUCUGUAUAAUUUUAUAUUCGGGCAACCAAGUGGCAUAAACACAACGACUGUAUUAUCUGUGUGUGUACAUUUAUGUAAUAAAAUUCAUGACAUAUGUAAUCCAAA